rnacentral:lncRNA from 1 species
CCCCCACCCCCCUUUCCGUCUCCCAGGCCCUGUGAGGUCAGCUCAUGAAUAUUGCUUCAUUUUCCUGAGAGGCUCUGGCAGCGGCGGGUACCUCGUGUGCGGUGCCCGGCUCUCCGUGCAUGCAUUUCGCCAACCGGGCAGCGGACAAAGUGGUGGAAAUAUUCCUGAUUCAGAUGCAUCAAACCCGUCAGCUGUUCCCGACAGGAAAACCUGCGGAGACGCCGCGUCCCGGCGCCACGUGGGUUAGCCUCUGGGGAGAAGGUCGAGCUGCGGAGUUUUGUGAGGACAGAGAUUUCGGACUUGGUCUCAAACGGGGCUUUCUUUGUGCCAGCUAAAAAUAUAUAUAAAUGCAUGUGUAUAUAUAUAUUUAUCUAAAAUCAGACAACUUAACCGUAGGAGGUAGCCGAACUUGGAUUUUGGGGCAUGCAGGGUAAGGGUUGUUUUCUGGCAGGUCGCGGUUGAGUCUGAUGUCUUAGUUGCAGUGAAAGUUCCCUAAAAGAUUCAGGUACAGCGUAGGGUUCCUGAUGAUUAAUUUGAAUUACAUUUCUUCUAUUUCAUACCUGUAUAGCUUCAAACAACGGUGGGGUGGGAAUUCUGUUUGUGGUGGCUAAGAGAAAUGCAAAGCAAAUCUUUUAUAAAGUGUUGUCAUGCAAGUUUUAUAGAUCUACACUCCCAUGCUUUUUUUGUUCUUCUUUUACUAAUUAAUGCUUGGGAAGUGUCUGCCAAAUUGUGUCAUUUUCAGCAUUAAUUUCCAGAAUAUUGGUUUAAAUCAGGUUAUUAAUGACAGUGCAUUUGAGAGGAAAUGAGGUACUCCUGCCAGUGAGAGCAGAGCAAACACAGCCUCAUUGUCUAGUAUGUUCCAGGGAGUAAACCAAUUGUCAGAGCAUGGUGUAGUCUCUGCAUUGAUUUUGCCCAGUAGUGCUCCUUUCCUUAUUUCCCAUUCUAGCAGGGAAUGAUUAAGCCAUGUUCCAGGUGGGAAUGGGCAGGCCAUGUUAGGAAUGCUGUCAUUUUUGCCGUUGCCCGUAUUUUCUCCCUAAGGAGAGUUGAAUAAAG